GAAUGCACUAGUUACUGGGAGCAUGGUUGUGAUAAAGCCAAGCCGUCCCUCGGGUUUGGCUCACUGCCCUUGACCUUCUCUGCCCUGUUUGACACAGCAAAUAGUCCUCACCAGAAGCAGGUCAGAUGCCAGUGCUAUGCUUGCACAGCCUGCUGAACCAUGAGCCAAAUAAGCCUCUUUCUAAGUUACCCACAGCCUCAGAUAUGUAGCAACACAGACAGACUAAGACACCAAGCAUGAUGGAAAACUGGGUUAUGGGCAGGACUGCAAGUACUGGUUAGGCAGAUACCUGUAUUUCUCUUCCUAACUCUCAGAACGUGUUCUGUGUCACUUAGGGCAACUUAUGCCCUCCUGUGUGAAAAUCUCCACUCCCAAUGUCUGAGGGUUCCUCAGAGUAAGAUAAAAUAUUAAAGGACCAAUUGUAUUAA
rnacentral:lncRNA from 10 species